ACGGAGGGUGCAAGCGUUAUCCGGAUUUAUUGGGUUUAAAGGGUGCGUAGGCGGGAUGUUAAGUCAGUGGUGAAAUCUUCCAGCUCAACUGGGAAACUGCCAUUGAAACUGACGUCCUUGAAUUUAGUUGAAGUAGGCGGAAUGAGGCAUGUAGCGGUGAAAUGCAUAGAUAUGCCUCAGAACACCGAUCGCGAAGGCAGCUUACUAAACUAACAUUGACGCUGAGGCACGAAAGCGUGGGGAGCAAACAGG
rnacentral:rRNA from 1 species